UCUAAUUCGGUCGUUUGCUUACAUAGGUUGAAGUCACUGGUUUUAUUAAUGCUGGUGAUCGAAAUCAAUCCAAGUUAAUGUGAAAACGAUAUCAUUAUUUUUGUUAUGGUGAGAACUAAUUUAAAUUAAGAAAUUGAAUUACUUUUUUAUACCUCUUUUGUGAUUAUUUACUGAGAAUUUGUUAAUUGUUUUAAUAAAUAUGGGGUAGGAUUUCUACGAUCAUUUCUCAUCUUUAGAGAUUGUUGAAUUUCUACAUUCAUUUCUCAUCUUUAGAGAUUGCUGGAUUUCAUAUUGUUGAAUAGUUUAUGGAUUUUCAUAUUUAGUGCGUCAAUAUGUUGUUACAGUAAUUCAAUUAGAUGUGAUAUAAGUUGAUGUGUUUAUACCUUUAAAGAUCAUUUUUCACACAAUUUCUAAUCCCGCAGCAACGCGCAGGCAAAACUUUCUAGUACAUAUACUAAAACUCAACACAAAAUUACUGUUGAUUAACAGUAAACCGACGAAAAUGCCCUCCAAUUUAUUUGUUAUCUGCCCUUUUUUUUCCUUUUUUAACAGUAAAAAUAUGACUUUGCUCUUCAUAUUUCAUCGCUCUGCAUCGACUACUUCUCGACUUUUUCCUCCGUUCCACUUUUCUCUCACAAUUCCCUACUUCUGUCGCUCUUGAACCUCGAUUCCUUUCGCUCUCCAAAGCUGCCUUCUCUCCCUCUCCGACCUUGCGACCCAACCGCACUUUCUUGCUAAAAAAACCUUCACUGCUUUCUCUGUUGCUAGAGGUUGCUUUCUCUUCUACUCCGGCAAGGCCUUUAGUUCUCAAUUAGAUUCCGGAAUAAAAGCCCAGAAAGUUAAUAUGGCAAAGCGAGAGCUUUCCAGCACUCUCAGGAACUUAAAAGGUAAAAAGAAACGAAGAAAUUUCAAUUUUUUUGGUUUUUUAUUUAUUUUCAGUGUUAAUUUCUGAUGAAAUUAUUAUUUUUGAUAAACCCUCUUAGAAUCUAAUCUAGGUUUUGCUUUAAUUCAUCUUGGUGUUUUUUAAUUUUGAGUUAUAUAAUUUUCUGGUGGACCUAUAAUUGUAUUUACAGAUUAAUAUAACGUAAUCGUGUUAUUUUUUUAAUUACUGUAGUUUAUGCAAAGAGCAACUUAGAAAGAGGUGAAGAAAGAAGAAGAUGUCAAACCAUACCUCAUCACCUCAGGUACUUUUAGCUCUAUUGCAUGUCAAAAUCAGCUUCAAAUCUGUGAUUUAAUAUACUUUAAUUUUAGCAAGUUUUUAGUGAUUUUGUAGAAUUUUACGUUUAAUAACCAAGUGAAUUACUUUACUUGGUUGGACCUGUUUUAUAGCUAUAUUUCAACCUUUCCUCUGAUGGCUUUUGACGAUUGGAUUUCUCGAGUCUACUUUCCAUGCUUUGAUCAUUUCAUUUGGCAUAGGGUUCUGGGUUUUGGAGAAUUCUUCAUUAAAUUGGCGGGUUUGUAGUUGUGCCCUUAUAUUUCUGGGUUUGGUUUUAUGUUAGUUUAGUAAAAAAUUUUAGCUUUUGCAGAAUUCUUUGUGAUUAAAUUUCUGGGUUUAGUAGCGGAUCUUGAGGUUGUGGUCUCCAGUAAAAGGUAAUUUUUACAUUAAUUUUGUAAAAAUUUGUACAUAUCAAUGUAUUAGAAUAUUUAAAUUUGAACUCACAUUUUUUUUUUAAAAUUUAAAUUUUAUUCUCUGCAUAGUCUAGAAAAAUUCUGCUUUCCUAAUCAUUUCACACAAUUUUGUUUAGUUUUAAAAGUUUUGCUAUAAUUUUCUCUGAUGAAAGGACAUUCUGUGACAAAAACCAUGAUCAAUUUGUUUGCAGGUUGAAGAUUUCUACUUUCACCAAGUUUAUCUCCAACUCC
rnacentral:lncRNA from 1 species